rnacentral:rRNA from 1 species
GUAGGUAACCUGCCUUGUAGCGGGGGAGUAACUAUUGGAAACGAUAGCUAAUACCGCAUAACAAUGGAUGACACAUGUCAUUUAUUUUGAAAGGGGGCAAUUGCUCCACUACAAGAUGGACCUGCGUUGUAUUAGCUAGUAGGUGAGGUAAUGGCUCACCUAGGCGACGAUACAUAGCCGACCUGAGAGGGUGAUCGGCCACACUGGGACUGAGACACGGCCCAGACUCCUACGGGAGGCAGCAUG